rfam:Luteipulveratus sp. C296001 unitig_0_quiver_44, whole genome shotgun sequence.
UCCCCGGUUGCUCUGCUGGUAGGGGCCGCCUGACUUUGAAUCAGGAUUAGCGACGUAGGUUCGAUUCCUACCCGGGGAG